rnacentral:rRNA from 1 species
AUUGAACGCUGGCGGCAGGCCUAACACAUGCAAGUCGAGCGUGCGGCGGACGGGGGAGUAAGGUAUGGGGACCGCCCGAUAGAGGGGGAUAACUACUGGAAACGGAGGCUAAUACCGCAUACUAUCGGAUAACCAAGAGGGGAGUAGCUAGUGGGUAAGGUAAUGACUUAACUAGGCGACGAUGCCUAGCUGGUCUGAGAGGAUGAUCAGCCACACUGGGACUGUGACACGGCCCAGACUCCUACGGAGGCAGCAGUAGGGAAUAUUGCGCAAUGGGCGCAAGCCUGAGGCAGCCAUGCCGCGUGAUUGAAGAAGGCUCUAGGGUUGUAAAGUACUGUCAUUCGAGAAGCGUUACCGACAGAGAAAGCACCGGCUAACUCCGUGCCAGCCGCCGCGGUAAUUC